rnacentral:rRNA from 1 species
UAGGGAAUCUUCCACAAUGGGCGCAAGCCUGAUGGAGCAACACCGCGUGAGUGAAGAAGGGUUUCGGCUCGUAAAGCUCUGUUGUUUAAAGAAGAACACGUAUGAGAGUAACUGUUCAUACGUUGACGGUAUUUAACCAGAAAGUCACGGCUAACUACGUACCAG